rnacentral:rRNA from 1 species
UACAUGGGGGUGCAAACGUUGCUCGGAAUUGAUUGGGCGUAAAGCGCACGUAGGCGGUUUGUUAAGUCGGAUGUGAAAUACCCUCGGGCUCAACUGGAGGAAGUGCAUCCGAAACUGGCAGGCUUGAGUACUAAAGAGGGUCGCAGGAAUUCCCGGUGUAGAGGUGAAAUGCGUAGAUAUCGGAGGAACACCAGUGGCGAAGGC